rnacentral:misc_RNA from 1 species
GUUGUAACAGUCAUUGCAGCGACAAUGAUCCCUCAGCCACGGGUAGGAGAAACGGAGGCUGUGUGGCCAGCGAGGGUGCUGCACCUCCAGCCUUGACCCAGCAUCGAAGGUGCUGAUCUCUGCAGGAGUGGUGGUUGGGCAGCGGUCAUGUGGCGUUGCCUGGCGUGGGUGACAGUGACUGUAGUGGCGGCGGUGACGGUGGAGGACGUGAUGAAUGAUCCUCUUCUGGUGGUGUUAAACCCUCCUUACAACACCCUCACCCUUGACGCCCACACCCUGCACUUCCUACAUUCUAAAGGAGAAGCCAAGGUGAGAUGGGGCCUCACUCUGCCGGAAGGGGCGCAGGGCACGCCAUGUGGGGAAGGCGACUCCUGCCUCGAUUUCGGGGUGGCCAAGGUGGUGGUGACGACUGAGGACCACUGCCAGAAGGUGGCCUGGACCUCCGGCAGUGGUAGCGACGGUGGCCUGACCGCCCUGAAGGACUGCGUGCUGCUGGAAGGCCACUGGUUUGGUGGCGGGCAGCAGGUGGAGCAGCCGUGGCCCUUGGAGCAGCAGCCGCGGCAAGAGACGGCCUUCGUGACAGCUGACAUGCUGUCUCGGAGCAGCCUGUGGUACGGUGGCGUGUCCGAGGCUUACUGGGUGUCGUCACAGGGCGUAGCAAUCAGGGUGGAGGAGCAGACGCCAUUGUUCCUGAGUGUGCCUGACAACGACGGCGACUCCACGGCGGACGAGCUGUGCCUCGCUGCCCGCCACGAGGAGCCCUUCAUGGCCAGCCCGGGCAGCCACCUCACCCUCACCUACCACCUGUGCUCUGGGAACGACGUGAGGAAGGUGCAUGAGGCGACCUUCCCCAAGUUCUUCUCGCUGCCUGAGGCCGCGGUGGACUCCCGCAUGAUCCGGGAUCCCAUCUGGUCCACCUGGGCCGAGUACCACAAAGCCGUCAACGACAGCAGAGUCCUUGACUUUGCACGAGCUGCCUUUGAAAACGGGUUCAACAACAGCCAGGUGGAGAUCGACGAUAACUGGGAGACAUGUUAUGGCGAGGCUGUGUUCAACCCAGAGCGUUUCCCAGACCCCCGUGGCUUGGUGGACCAGCUCCACAGUGAAGGCUUCCGGGUCACGCUGUGGAUCCAUCCCUUCAUCAACCAGGACUGUCCCGCCUUCACCCUCGCGGACCAGCUGGGCUACUUCAUCAAGGACAGCUCGGGCGCCACUCAGCUGACUCACUGGUGGGACGGCAGGAAGGCAGGUCUACUGGACUUCACCAACGCAGAGGCCGUGGCGUGGUGGACUCAGCGCCUGAACGACUUGAAGCACCAGACCGGCGUGGACAGCUUCAAAUUUGACGCGGGCGAGACCACCUGGAUGCCUGGGAACUUCACGCUGCAGGCUGACGAGCGACUCUGGCCCAACCUGUACACCUUCAAGUACGUGGAGGCAGUGGCGGACUUCGGGGACAUGGUGGAAACCAGGGUUGGCCGAGGCUCCCAGCGCUUCCCGAUCUUCGUCAGGAUGCUUGACAAGUACUCCACCUGGGGUUACUACAAUGGCCUCAAGACGCUCGUGCCCUCACUGCUGCACUUUGGCCUCCUCGGGUACCCCUUCGUGCUGCCAGACAUGAUAGGGGGCAACGCGUACGGGCUGCGUCCCGGCAAGGAGCUGUUCGUCAGGUGGGCGCAAGCCAACGCCUUCAUGCCCGCCCUGCAGUUCUCCAUCCUGCCCUGGAACUACGACGAGGAGGUGACGGAGCUGUGCCGGGAGGUGACGCGCCUGCACACUCAGUACACGCCGCUGCUGCUCAGCCUGGCACAGGAGGCCACAACCUCCGUGGCCCCAAUGAUGCGCCCCACCUGGUGGCUGUGCCCCACCGUGGAGGAGUGUCUCACCGCAGACCAGCAAUUCCUGGUUGGUGAUGACCUGCUGGUGGUGCCCGUGGUGACAGCCGGCGCCGCUACCGUGGACGUGGUGGUGCCCCCCGGUGAGUGGCAGCAGGUGGGCACGGGGCUGGCUGCUGCAGGCCCCGCCACGCUUACCGUGACAAACAUCACCCUGGACAGCGUGGUGUACUUCACCAGGAAGGCAGCGCACCACACUGGGCUCGGAGGUGAGGCAGUGGCAGCAGGAGUAGCAGUGCAGUAGUGGACACCAAGAAGGCAGCGCACCACACUGGGCUCGGAGCGCCGCCCGGACAUUCUCCCUCCCGGUGGCCACUGAAUCCUGAGCUCGUGACGUCACACCUAAGGAACCCACAAGAACCAAUCACAGCUCGUCUUUCAACCCUGCAGAGUGACGUCAGAGAGU